CACAGACAGACCUGCCAUUAGGAGCGUUUCAGACCAAAACUCAGCUGCUCUGAACAGCAGUAAUUAGAUCAGCAGACCGUGAGGUCUGCUUUCUGUUCUUUUCACACCUGUCUGCCAAUAGCAGGGUUACUGGGUAAAGGAAGAUCUUAGCUGUGCCCAGACUGACUUUGAUCCCAAGAGCACUCCCUGAUAAACCCUCUGCACUGCCCGCUGAUCUCGCCUCAGUCUGGCCUAUGGGCAUAGAGCAGGCACCCCACAGAUGUUUGGUAAAAUUAUCACACCCUUUGAAGUUUGUCCCCUGUGCAUGCAUUGCCUACUAAAAAUUUAAAUAAUAUUAUAGGGCAGUUUACAAUUAUCUCCUCUCCACCUCCAGUACACACAAACCUCCUGGAGAAGCCCUGGAGUGGCUCCAGUAAGCUGUCAGGAGUUCUGAAAACCCUUAGGUUAGUUCAUCGCUCAAGGCACAGGGUAUCCCAGGGUAUCCUGGGAAGGGCGCUGGUCUAGCACUAGAGAGCCUGAGUUUGAGCUGCGCUUCUGGCCCUUCAGCUGGGUGAGCUCAGGCAAGUCAGCCCAGUCCUCAGCACAGCCCCACCCUCCUCUGUAAAACCCACACUAUCUGCACUGCCCCACUUCCUCCUGGAGUUGUAAAGGUCAAAUGAGACCUUCCAAUAUUAUAUUUGGAAGUGCAUUUUAAACGGCAAAGGGCUAUGCAAAAAUAAGAGAAUUUCAUUUAGUGGAUGGCCAGUAAAUUGUGUUCACUGACUGUGUUCGUGGCUAAUUCUGGACACUCAUCCCUCUAGUGUUGGAUAAACAAGACAUGAGUAUGACUCACCCUAAAUAUAUCCACUGUCUUCCUUAUCUGGUUCAUUUUGAGACUCAAAUAAGACAAUGAAUGUGAGAUGCUUUGGCAAUCACACCUAUGCAUAUAGGUGUGAUACCUGUGUGUGUUCAUGGGGCUAGGGCUGGGUGACCGGAACCAGAAAAGAAGACCCGGGUUCCAUCCUUUCUCCACCACUUACUAACUUGGUGGCCUUAGGCACAUCACUUAAUUUUUUCUCUUUUAAAUGGGAACGGUAACCCAUACUUUGCUUUCCUCACAGAGAUUUUUUCCCUUUUUUUAUGAGGGUCACUAAGAAUAUGUAUUUGGAAGAAUUUCGGGUUGGAUAAAUGGAGUCCAAGAGACUUAGAAAGUUCUUACCUCUUGUAAGUGGAGAAGUUACAUUGAACCCAGAGCCAUGACUCCCAAGCUUGGCCUCCUUCUUCACUGUCAAGAAGUACCUAGGAAUAAAAAUAACAACAAUAAUGCUCAUUAUGGACAGCGAUCACCAUUGUUCUUUAAGGUACCUCAGGCCACUUGGCAUUUCUGUGUUCAUUAGAGAUGCCCCUCUGGGCUGAGGGGGCACCGCUUGGUAAGGAUAGCAAGAUCUCUAUUUCAGACCCCACUCAUCACCAACACCUUCACCCUUGGACAGUGUACAACCUGCCCAACUCUACAUUGACAGCCUCCAUGGUUCUCAACUUAAGUUUUGAGUUGUUUUUCUGCAGCAGGGUGGCUGUGUGAUCAACAUUUUACUAACUCCCAGACUGGCCCCUAAUAAAGUAGUGAAAUCAGUGGGCCAGAGUGCAGACUUUGGCCAAGAAAGAGAGGUACCAACCUGACAGAGAGACAAACAUGUGCAGCACCCUUCAUCUCCUCCUUUCCUAGGAGAGAAAAGGGAAGGAGGUGUGGCCUAGAAGUGAAGGGAAGAAAGAGGGUCAGAAGGAGAGGGGAAACAAGCACAUGGUUGGGAUUUCAGUCAGGCAAAUUCUAGGCUUGUAGAGGAGGAGAAGCCAUUGUCAAACUUGCCUUUAGAGAAAGGACACAGGGACAAGGGAAUUUGGAAUGUCCCCAGUGUUUCCAAAGGGCCUUCUCCAUUGCUGCUGCAGGCCUCCCCCCACAACCAGGAGGUAUGGACACCCAUGGGGUCGUCCAGAACUCCAUUGUGCUAGUGGGAAGAAUUGCUGAGCCUUCUCUAGUGAGAAGUGAGGUGCUGGGCUUGCAUCUCAAUUUCCCAGCACCCUAGCCCAGUUACCUCCCUCGUCCAUUCUCUCUCCAUUUAUCACAAACCCCUUUGUUCUGGGUGUGGACCCAUGGUAAAGCUGGAUUUUGUGCAUCUUGCCUUGAUGGAGACAUGACCCGAGUCCUGUGGUACACAGGGCUCCAUCUACUGCUAGAUGAUGGAACUCACCAUCUAGCAAAAGUCAUGAAGUAGCUGAUAGGUGAAAGCAAUCAGCUCAGACAGCACUCUGUGUGUAUUUCUAGGUCACAUGAGUUUCUGGAUCAGGGAGGGCAAUGUGUUACCUGAUAAGAGCACAGUUUCAAGUCAGCUGGCCUAGAUUCAAGUUCUGACUCAGCUACUCUCUCACCCAGUUUGUGACUUGAGUGAGUUAGCUGGGCUCUCUGAGUCUAUUUCCUUAUCUGGGAAACAGGAUUAAUGCCCACGUCAUGGAAUAACUAUAAAUUAAAGCUGUGAACUAAAACCAAAAGUGUUUGUGAGGUUAUGAAAGACUAUAGUGAGGUGGGAUAGCAUGAAGGUGGAGAACAUGGCAUUUGGAAUGAAAGAGCCCUGCAUUUGGGUCCCAGUUCUGUGUCCACUAGUGCUGGGACCUUGGACAGGUGCUGAAGCUGUUUUUUUAAUAUGGACUUUAUUUUUUAGAGCAAUCUUAGGUUCACAGCAAAGUUGAGGGGAAAUUAGAGUUCCCUCCCCCACCACAGCCUCCUCCAUAGAAUGGCACCUUUGUUAAAAGCAAUGAACCUGCACUGGUACAUCAUUCUCACCCAAGUCCACAGAUUACAUUAAGGUUUGCUCUUAGUGUUGUACAUUCUAUGGUUUUUGACAAAUGUAUAAUGGCCUGUAUCCACCAUUAUAGUAUCAUGCAAAAUAGUUUCACUACCUUAAACUUCUCUAUGUUCCAGCUGUUUAUCCAUCCCUCCCACUAACCCCUGGCAACCACCGAUCUUUUUGCUCUCUUUAGUGUUGCCUUUUCCAGCAUGCCAUGUAGUUGGAAUCAUACAGUAUGUCGAUUUAUCAGAUUGGCUUCUUUCACUUAGUAAUACAUAUUUAAGUUUCCACCUUAUCUUUUCACGGCUUAAUAACUCAUUUCUUUUUAUCAUUGAGUACUAUUCCAUUGUCUGGAUGUACCACAAUUUACUCAUCCAUCCACAUACUGAAAGACAUCUUGAUUGCUUCCAAGUUUUGGCAAUUAUAAAUAAAGCUGCUGUAAACAUCAAUGUGCAGGUUUUUGUGUGGACAUCAGUUUUCAGUUCAUUUGAGUAAAUACUAAAGAGCACCACUGCUGGAUCAUAUGGUUACUGUAACAUUUCUGAGCCUCAUUUUCAUCAUUGGUAAAGUGGAGAUAGCUUAGUCCUACAGGGCAUUGUGAUAUUUAUUUGAGUUAAUGCACGUGAAACACUUAGCACAAUGCCCGCACAUAGGCAGUGCUCAGCUAAGGGUUGCUGUCUUUGUCCUAUUCAAGUGUCAAAGACAUCACUAAUGUGAGACAUGGGAAUCCAAGCACUGACUGAGGGAGAUGACUUAUUAGUAUGUCAGAGUCGUGGAUCAUCUGGCCACAGUCCAAGAAGGCACAGGGCAACAGGAAAUGCUGAAGGCUGCCAGGGCUCCAUUGCGUCCAUCAAAGCAGAAUGUCGUGGUCUCGUGUGGGCCAGGACCCUUUGCUUAGUGCUGCAGUCCUCAGCUGCCUGAGCUGGACAUAAACCACUGCCACUGUCCACAUGAAGUUUGUGCCAGGUUUAGCAAGCCAGGGUCCGAGGGGUAUCGUGUGCCCUUAGACGUGUGCUGGCCUCCACUGUAUGUUCCUCUCCUUCCCAAGCCCGCUCCUCAGGCAGCUGCCCCUCCUCUUCCUCCCCUUGACUCAUCUGAAGCUAAGCCCUGCCCGUAACCAG
ensembl:lncRNA